UACGUAGGGUGCAAGCGUUGUCCGGAAUUAUUGGGCGUAAAGAGCUCGUAGGCGGUUUGUCGCGUCUGCUGUGAAAACUCGGGGCUUAACUCCGGGCCUGCAGUGGGUACGGGCAGACUAGAGUGCGGUAGGGGAGACUGGAAUUCCUGGUGUAGCGGUGAAAUGCGCAGAUAUCUGGAGGAAAACCGGUGGCGAAGGCGGCAUCCUGGACCGAGAUUGACGCUGAGGCGCGAAAGCCAGGGGAGCAAACGGG
rnacentral:rRNA from 1 species